rnacentral:lncRNA from 1 species
GUCAGGUGUUUUCUCAUCUUGGCAUUUUUUGCUCUUCAGCAGCCAUGGGGUUUAAGUGUGCGGGUGAGCAGGUGCAGCUCCACCACAGCAGCCCAUUGUCUGGUGAAGGUUUCUCUGGUUCAGGGCCUGGGCCCAAUGAGGUCCAUACCUAGGGAUAACUAACCAGUCACCACUUGUGGAAUUAAUUCAUCAUUUGAGGGAUUUAAGUGUGACAACCUUGAAAACUAAUUUCUGUACAUUUGGCAAAAUUAAGUCAAGCCUAGAAGGCAGACCCGGGAGCCAAGAUUCCAGCAGAACCUUGCAAAGAAGAAAGCUGAAAAAAAAAAACCACAUUUCAUUAUGCUGAAAUCAGAUCCCUGAAAAGUAAGACCUGGGUGGUGCUGAUCCCAAUGAGGGAACUCCAGUUCAUUUUGUUUUUUAAAUAUAAUGGCAACACCCACAAUAGAACCUGGAUGUAUUCAUGAAAGCCAUGGGUAAAAGGAGGAAUAAGAAAGGAUGACAUAUCUAUAAAACAAGAACACAUUUUAAGAAUCAGAUCCAAUUAUAUAGGUUGAACAGUUAAACUGUAAAAUUCUCCAAGGAUGCAGGAGGAGAAAGUAGAGAGAAAAGUAAGAGAAAAUUUUAAUAUUCACGGAGAAUGAAUCCAGAAGCUCCAAAAUCCUCUUAAUAGGAGUUCCAAGGAAGGAACAGAAAAAAUGGAAAAGGUGAAGUGG